CCUACGGGUGGCAGCAGUGAGGAAUAUUGGUCAAUGGACGAGAGUCUGAACCAGCCAAGUAGCGUGAAGGAUGACUGCCCUAUGGGUUGUAAACUUCUUUUAUAAAGGAAUAAAACGAGGCACGUGUGCCUUUUUGCGUGUACUUUAUGAAUAAGGAUCGGCUAACUCCGUGCCAGCAGCCGCGGUAAUACGGAGGAUCCGAGCGUUAUCCGGAUUUAUUGGGUUUAAAGGGAGCGUAGAUGGGUUGUUAAGUCAGUUGUGAAAGUUUGCGGCUCAACCGUAAAAUUGCAAUUGAUACUGGCAGGCUUGAGUAUAGUUGAGGUAGGCGGAAUGCGUGGUGUAGCGGUGAAAGGCUUAGAGAUCACGAAGAACCCCGAUUGCGAAGGCAGCUUACCAAACUGUGACUGACAUUGAUGCUCGAAAGUGUGGGGAGCAAACAGGAUUAGAUACCCUAGUAGUC
rnacentral:rRNA from 1 species